UAUUUAACAAACAAUCAGGUCAAAAGCUAAAGGGUGUGGAUAAGAUUCCUAGGACCUAUUUUUGAGAUUUUCUAUUUUUGUUGUUUAUUAUUUUCCGGUAAAAAGUUUAGCUGAGUUCUGCCGAAUUCCAGCAUCUCCAUCACCCAAAACCACAUUUAUUUUUUAUUUUUUUCUCCAAUUGUUUCCAGCUUACUAGAUCACAACCAGAAACCAACUUUGUUCUGUUCUUUUUCAACCAGACCUCAAAGCUCCAUCAUCCCACCACCACCGAAUCCGAUAAGUGAUAUCUCUUCCUCGCUUCCUCUGUUUCCGACUAGCUCCAACCCUAAUCAACAAUAGAAACCAGCUCACAAAUCACCUGUAUUUUCAUUUCUUCCGACAAACAACUUCAACUCAACAACAAACACAACCCCUCCCUAUUCCGUUUUUCCAGCCACCAAACCCGCCAGACCAUCACCAGACCUCCACCCAAAUUCCAACUUUCCGAUCUCCAGACAUCCAGCCAACAAAACCCCGACGAAACUCCAUUUUUGACCAUGCCUCCACCAGAAAUUACCACCAGAAAACUAACCCAAAACCACCGCGAACCAGCGACACAAACAGCCACCAAACCGCCUCCAAUUCCGAUCUUUUCUGGUGAAACCCCAACCUGUUUCUCACUUCUCCAAGGGCAGAAUCGGUAGAUCCACAUCUCAAAACAUAGGAACAACAACCAUGAGCUCUCAAAGCGUUGCGAAAUCCACAAAAACUCCGAUGAGUCUUUCACCUCUAGAUCUGGCCAGAAAAAACUUUCCUUUGAUCUUUUGAUUUUGGGAAAAAUCGCUCCAGGAAGGCCUUCUUCAACUCAUUCCAUGUUCGAAUUUGUAGUUAUAUUUCGUAAUUUAACAUUUGGCUUGUGUUUUGUGUCUCUCUCAUGUAAACUUUGUUGUGCAUGCCCAACACUAGAAAUAAAAAAGCCCAUUGCUUUCUUACUACCGUGAAUUUUAAAAAAGCUCUUCACAAAUGGUUAAUGCACAAGAAGUAGAGGCUCAAAGACAUAGAUUUGUAUUAGAGUGUAAAAUGGAUUUUUCUAAGAAUGUCCAAUAGACUUUUGGCAUUAAUCAACAUAUGUAAGGAAAUCCUCAAGAUGCUGUGAUCAACAAACCGGUGGGUAGAAGGAUUAAUUCCUCAAUAUCGCCAACCUGUAGCGCCAAGGGGAUAAAGAUCCUCCUCCUAGACACAUGAUAUAUACAGAAUAUUAUUCUUAAAUUUGAUGGAGGUGGAGCCACAUGAGAUAUUGUUUACCUAUAGUACCUCUUUAUGUUCAGUUUACAAUUUCUAGUACUAUGAUUCAAUUGCAGAACUUGAAAGGUAUGUAUAGAGGUGCAACUAGUGUUGAUGCAAGGCAACAUUUGAUGAUUUCUGUUGUAA